GUGAAGGAUGUCUGCGUGCCGGUUUGUGCUCAGUUUCUCAGCCAGCGUGCCUGAGAAAGUGUGCCACAGCAGUCUGUCUAGUGGUGCUCUUUGUUCUGGAAGGACGCAAGCAUUGCUGAGGAGCCAUUUGACCUGCCGCCACACUAAUAUUGUAUUUGGCAAAGCCGAAGGCCUCUGCAAGCAGCCAGUCAUUCCAAGUCUCAACCAAUCCUUCCUCUAGUCAGCCAAUUUCUAGUGCAUGCGGAAAGGACUUGCGC